rnacentral:rRNA from 1 species
AUUGAACGCUGGCGGCAUGCUUUACACAUGCAAGUCGAACGGUAACAGGCCGCAAGGUGCUGACGAGUGGCGAACGGGUGGGUAAUGCAUCGGAACGUGCCCAGUCGUGGGGGAUAACUGCUCGAAAGAGCAGCUAAUACCGCAUACGAUCUAUGGAUGAAAGCGGGGGACCGUAAGGCCUCGCGCGAUUGGAGCGGCCGAUGUCAGAUUAGGUAGUUGGUGGGGUAAAGGCUCACCAAGCCAACGAUCUGUAGCUGGUCUGAGAGGACGACCAGCCACACUGGGACUGAGACACGGCCCAGACUCCUACGGGAGGCAGCAGUGGGGAAUUUUGGACAAUGGGGGCAACCCUGAUCCAGCAAUGCCGCGUGCAGGAAGAAGGCCUUCGGGUUGUAAACUGCUUUUGUACGGAACGAAACGGUCUGGGUUAAUACCCUGGGCUAAUGACGGUACCGUAAGAAUAAGCACCGGCUAACUACGUGCCAGCAGCCGCAGUAAGAC